rnacentral:rRNA from 1 species
GACGAACCGUGCGAACGUUGUUCGGAAUCACUGGGCUUAAAGGGCGCGUAGGCGGUCGGGCAAGUCCGGGGUGAAAUCCUGCAGCUUAACUGUAGAAGUGCCUUGGAUACUGCCCGGCUCGAGGGAGGUAGGGGUCUGUGGAACUUCUGGUGGAGCGGUGAAAUGCGUUGAUAUCAGAAGGAACGCCGGUGGCGAAAGCGACAGACUGGACCUUUUCUAACGCUGAGGCGCGAAAGCUAGGGGAGCAAAC